CAGCCGCCACGGUAAUACGUAGGUGGCAAGCGUUAUCCGGAAUUAUUGGGCGUAAAGCGCGCGUAGGCGGUUUUUUAAGUCUGAUGUGAAAGCCCACGGCUCAACCGUGGAGGGUCAUUGGAAACUGGAAAACUUGAGUGCAGAAGAGGAAAGUGGAAUUCCAUGUGUAGCGGUGAAAUGCGCAGAGAUAUGGAGGAACACCAGUGGCGAAGGCGACUUUCUGGUCUGUAACUGACGCUGAUGUGCGAAAGCGUGGGGAUCAAACAGGAUUAGAUACCCCAGUAGUCCCUGUCUCUUAUAC
rnacentral:rRNA from 1 species